rnacentral:tRNA from 1 species
GCCGAGAACGACAAUCUCAAAAACCGUUGUCCUCACGGACGUGUGGGUUCGAGUCCCACACUCGGCACCA